CGCGAAGGACCUUACCUGGUCUUGACAUAUCUAGAAUCCUGCAGAGAUGCGGGAGUGCCUUCGGGAAUUAGAAUACAGGUGCUGCAUGGCUGUCGUCAGCUCGUGUCGUGAGAUGUUGGGUUAAGUCCCGCAACGAGCGCAACCCUUUUCCUUAGUUACCAGCGGUUUGGCCGGGGACUCUAAGGAUACUGCCAGUGACAAACUGGAGGAAGGCGGGGACGACGUCAAGUCAUCAUGGCCCUUACGACCAGGGCUACACACGUGCUACAAUGGUAGGUACAGAGGGCUGCUACACAGCGAUGUGAUGCGAAUCUCAAAAAACCUAUCGUACUCCAGAUUGGAGUCUGGCACUCGACUCCCUGAAAUCGGGAUUGCU
rnacentral:rRNA from 1 species